GACGAACGCUGGCGGCGUGCUUAACACAUGCAAGUCGAACGGGAAGGCACUGCUUUUGUGGGGUGCUCGAGUGGCGAACGGGUGAGUAAAACGUGAGUAACCUGCCCUUGACUUUGGGAUAACUUCAGGAAACUGGGGCUAAUACCGGAUAGGAGCUCCUGCUGCAUGGUGGGGGUUGGAAAGUUUCGGCGGUUGGGGAUGGACUCGCGGCUUAUCAGCUUGUUGGUGGGGUAGUGGCUUACCAAGGCUUUGACGGGUAGCCGGCCUGAGAGGGUGACCGGCCACAUUGGGACUGAGAUACGGCCCAGACUCCUACGGGAGGCAGCAGUGGGGAAUAGUGCACAAUGGGCGGAAGCCUGAUGCAGCAACGCCGCGUGCGGGAUGUCGGCCUUCGGGUUUUAAACCUCUUUCGCCUGUGACGAAGCGUGAGUGACGGUAAUGGGUAAAGAAGCACCGGCUAACUACGUG
rnacentral:rRNA from 1 species